UUGUAGAUGCAAGUGUGAUGAGUACCACACUUUCUGAAACUAACGUCUGUUUCUGUUCAUGGCUCCAUAACCACGGAUCACUUAAAAUUAAGAUGCAGCUCUCAUGGGAAUGGGCAUUAGAGGAGACUUCCACAUAGGGAAACAGCUUCGUUGCAUGGUCUGAUGGUGUUCCAUGCUUGUUUUCUUUUGCAAGGUUCCACCAAGUUCUGUUGAUCUCAGAAAGCUGAUUUUACUUUGAUGUAAGGAUUUGAAAAUCCAGCUCUUGCCAUCUGAUAUAUUGACAUGGGAACCUGUCUAAUGAGAUUACUCCAGGGAUUCCCCAUCUCUACCUCCUGAAGUCUGGAACUGUAGGUGGACCUCCAUGCUUAACUGGAACUGUAGGUGGACCUCCAUGCUUAUCUGCAACUCUAAGUGGACCUUCAUGCUUAUCUGAACCUAUAUGUGGACCUUUGUGCUUAUCUGGAACUCUAGGUGGACCUUCAUGAUUACCUGGACCUCUAGGUGGACCUCCGUGUUUCCAUGGCUUUUCAAAUAGAUUCUGGGGAUCCAAACUGUGGUCCUCACACCCUCAAGACAAUUGCUUUAUUGCUAAGCCAUUUUCCCA